UCUACAUUGAUUUUCCUUCCAACAGAAUUUACUUCAAAUUCAAUAGGUUAGACCUGUUGAGCCAAUAUCACUAUGAGUAGGAAUUAACUCUAUCAACCUCCAAAUCCUUCUUCACCAAAAUCCUUAAUGUCUAUGAUCAAUGCUACACAUAAUAACUCACAUAAGCAUCUCAAAAUCAAAAUUUCUACUCAAUAUUGUAUUUUACAAUGACAAAGAUUUCUGGUUAGAUCAUAAACCUAGACUUGAGUUCAAGUUAACACAUCCAAUAAUCUCCAACAAUUAUAAGAAAAAUUCAGGAGCCCAAUCCAAAUAUACAAAUUCAAAUAAUUAGAAUACUCCACCAAUUUGCAUACU
rnacentral:lncRNA from 1 species